rnacentral:misc_RNA from 1 species
GAUGAAGAACGCAGCGAAAUGCGAUAAGAAAUGUGAAUUGCAGAAUUCAGUGAAUCAUCGAAUCUUUGAACGCACAUUGCGCCCGCCAGUAUUCUGGCGGGCAUGCCUGUUCGAGCGUCAUUUCAACCAUCAAGCCCCAGGCUUGUGUUGGGGACCUGCGGCUGCCGCAGGCCCUGAAAACCAGUGGCGGGCUCGCUGUCACACCGGGCGUAGUAGAUUUUAUCUCGCUCAGGGCGUGCUGCGGGUUCCGGCCGUUAAAAAGCCUUUUUUACCCAAGGUUGACCUCGGAUCAGGUAGGAAGACCCGCUGAACUUAAGCAUAUCAAUAAGCGGAGGA